CAAAGGACCAAAACUCCGACAGCUCUGGGAGCAACCCGGCCAUCUAGGAGCCCCCAAGCAGCUUGACUCUGGGGGAGACUCUCCUCCCAAUGGAGGAAGACACGAGGAAGAGAGGAUCCAUCCAUGAACUGAAUUCUAUCAAUUCUUCUCAGGGACUUCUUCGGCCUGUUUCCGAUUGCAGAGAGCUUGGCUUGGCAUGAUUUGCUUUCUGGCACAGCUGCAGCCUCAAGACGCAUUUGCCCCUUAGCUUUUUACCCC